rnacentral:rRNA from 1 species
CGAGUGGCGGACGGGUGAGUAAUGUCUGGGAAACUGCCCGAUGGAGGGGGAUAACUACUGGAAACGGUAGCUAAUACCGCAUAACGUCGCAAGACCAAAAAGGGGGACCUUCGGGCCUCUUGCCAUCGGAUGUGCCCAGAUGGGAUUAGCUAGUAGGUGGGGUAAAGGCUCACCUAGGCGACGAUCCCUAGCUGGUCUGAGAGGAUGACCAGCCACACUGGAACUGAGACACGGUCCAG